ACUGCGCAUGAUCGAUUCGUAAGUCUGUCUCUAAGUCGGAGCAGCAAUAAUACAUAAUGAAAUUAAGUAUGAGUUGUCCGUAAGUCAGACAUUCUUAACUGCUUUUGGAAUUGACACAAUGCAAAAUGUUUCACCUACCCCAUCUUGUUCUCCAUGACACACACAUGUUGGUGAGAGUAAGCUUGGGUGGGGUCACAAUGCAGGAUUAACUAACCUUCAGCACCCCUGGAGCUGGGGGUUCUGGGCCAUGCUGAGGGACAUUUGACCACCGAGCCUGGAUCCAGUGACCUUCUGAUCACAGACUUAUUCCGGUGGCUCUGGGCUUGUGACCUGACUGAAAUCCCAUAAUAAUGACAUCAAAUGAGAAAAAAUGGUUCCAUAAAAAUGAAGUGGUUCUGAUUGACCAAGCUAUAGACUAACCAAGAGCUGAGAUGGCGGCAUGUUUGUUUUCCCCAAGCGGCAUCACUGAGGGCAAAAUGUCAGCAUGAACCAGCCGAGGAAUAGGAUUUCUCCAACAAAAACGCUUAUAUCUUGCAAAUAGAAUAUCACUGAAAGAAAAUUUACUCUGGAGACUGUACAUAAUCCAACGAUACCCAACUGUGAGUCUUAAAUAUCCCCAGGUAAUCAAUCCAGUCCUGCUGAACUAAAUUUCUGAACAGGUUAAAAUUUCAGUUCUCUAGGUAUGUUUUUAAGGGUUCAGAGCCCAAAACUAAACAGAAGUUUAGUCUUAGUUGAAUCAUUAGCUUCCACGAUUUUUUUAGUGGUUUAUCGGUUUAGCAUUAUAAAAUUAAACUUUUCAGUUAGCUUUGCCCACCGCUGCCUAAUAUUUAUGUUUGUAUUAUUACUUAUAUAUUACACUUUGUUAGACACCCCACCCCCACCAAGCCCAUCCCAGCCCUUCCUCAUGUGACUGAGCAGGCAGAUUGAGGCAGGUUUCCUGUAUACUGCUCAUACCGAAGGCCCACAGAGGAUAGCUGAUUCUCAGUGUGGGCAGAGGUGGCGGAGCACUCACAAAGCGGGGCAAGGCUCCACAUUGCAGGCUUCC